GACGGAGGGGGCUAGCGUUGUUCGGAAUUACUGGGCGUAAAGAGUGCGUAGGUGGUUUAGUAAGUUGGAAGUGAAAGCCCGGGGCUUAACCUCGGAAUAGCUUUCAAAACUACUAAUCUAGAGUGUAGUAGGGGAUGAUGGAAUUCCUAGUGUAGAGGUGAAAUUCUUAGAUAUUAGGAGGAACACCGGUGGCGAAGGCGGUCAUCUGGGCUACAACUGACACUGAUGCACGAAAGCGUGGGGAGCAAACA
rnacentral:rRNA from 1 species